UACAGAGGUCCGAGCGUUGUUCGGAUUCACUGGGCGUAAAGGGUGCGUAGGUGGCGACGUAAGUCGGGUGUGAAAGCCCCGGGCUCAACCUGGGAAUUGCAUUCGAGACUGCAUUGCUGGAGUACGGAAGAGGAGGGCGGAAUUCCCGGUGGUAGCGGUGAAAUGCGUAGAUAUCGGGAGGAACAUCAGGUGGCGAAGGCGGCCCUCUGGUCCAGUACUGACAGCUCAAGUGCGAAAGCGUGGG
rnacentral:rRNA from 1 species